GUGCUUGCUUUGGCAGCACAUAUACUAAAAUUGAAAUAAUAGAGAAGAUUAGCAUGGCCCCUGUACAAGGAUGACAUGCAAAUUCAUGAAGUGUUCCAUAUUUAA